rnacentral:rRNA from 1 species
UGGCAGUCAGAGGCGAUGAAGGACGUGCUAAUCUGCGAUAAGCGUCGGUAAGGUGAUAUGAACCGUUAUAACCGGCGAUUUCCGAAUGGGGAAACCCAGUGUGUUUCGACACACUAUCAUUAACUGAAUCCAUAGGUUAAUGAGGCGAACCGGGGGAACUGAAACAUCUAAGUACCCCGAGGAAAAGAAAUCAACCGAGAUUCCCCCAGUAGCGGCGAGCGAACGGGGAGCAGCCCAGAGCCUGAAUCAGUGUGUGUGUUAGUGGAAGCGUCUGGAAAGGCGCGCGAUACAGGGUGACAGCCCCGUACACAAAAAUGCACAUACUGUGAGCUCGAUGAGUAGGGCGGGACACGUGGUAUCCUGUCUGAAUAUGGGGGGACCAUCCUCCAAGGCUAAAUACUCCUGACUGACCGAUAGUGAACCAGUACCGUGAGGGAAAGGCGAAAAGAACCCCGGCGAGGGGAGUGAAAAAGAACCUGAAACCGUGUACGUACAAGCAGUGGGAGCCUCUUAAUGGGGUGACUGCGUACCUUUUGUAUAAUGGGUCAGCGACUUAUAUUCUGUAGCAAGGUUAACCGAAUAGGGGAGCCGAAGGGAAACCGAGUCUUAACUGGGCGUUAAGUUGCAGGGUAUAGACCCGAAACCCGGUGAUCUAGCCAUGGGCAGGUUGAAGGUUGGGUAACACUAACUGGAGGACCGAACCGACUAAUGUUGAAAAAUUAGCGGAUGACUUGUGGCUGGGGGUGAAAGGCCAAUCAAACCGGGAGAUAGCUGGUUCUCCCCGAAAGCUAUUUAGGUAGCGCCUCGUGAAUUCAUCUCCGGGGGUAGAGCACUGUUUCGGCAAGGGGGUCAUCCCGACUUACCAACCCGAUGCAAACUGCGAAUACCGGAGAAUGUUAUCACGGGAGACACACGGCGGGUGCUAACGUCCGUCGUGAAGAGGGAAACAACCCAGACCGCCAGCUAAGGUCCCAAAGUCAUGGUUAAGUGGGAAACGAUGUGGGAAGGCCCAGACAGCCAGGAUGUUGGCUUAGAAGCAGCCAUCAUUUAAAGAAAGCGUAAUAGCUCACUGGUCGAGUCGGCCUGCGCGGAAGAUGUAACGGGGCUAAACCAUGCACCGAAGCUGCGGCAGCGACACUAUGUGUUGUUGGGUAGGGGAGCGUUCUGUAAGCCUGUGAAGGUGUACUGUGAGGUAUGCUGGAGGUAUCAGAAGUGCGAAUGCUGACAUAAGUAACGAUAAAGCGGGUGAAAAGCCCGCUCGCCGGAAGACCAAGGGUUCCUGUCCAACGUUAAUCGGGGCAGGGUGAGUCGACCCCUAAGGCGAGGCCGAAAGGCGUAGUCGAUGGGAAACAGGUUAAUAUUCCUGUACUUGGUGUUACUGCGAAGGGGGGACGGAGAAGGCUAUGUUGGCCGGGCGACGGUUGUCCCGGUUUAAGCGUGUAGGCUGGUUUUCCAGGCAAAUCCGGAAAAUCAAGGCUGAGGCGUGAUGACGAGGCACUACGGUGCUGAAGCAACAAAUGCCCUGCUUCCAGGAAAAGCCUCUAAGCAUCAGGUAACAUCAAAUCGUACCCCAAACCGACACAGGUGGUCAGGUAGAGAAUACCAAGGCGCUUGAGAGAACUCGGGUGAAGGAACUAGGCAAAAUGGUGCCGUAACUUCGGGAGAAGGCACGCUGAUAUGUAGGUGAAGUCCCUUGCGGAUGGAGCUGAAAUCAGUCGAAGAUACCAGCUGGCUGCAACUGUUUAUUAAAAACACAGCACUGUGCAAACACGAAAGUGGACGUAUACGGUGUGACGCCUGCCCGGUGCCGGAAGGUUAAUUGAUGGGGUUAGCGGUAACGCGAAGCUCUUGAUCGAAGCCCCGGUAAACGGCGGCCGUAACUAUAACGGUCCUAAGGUAGCGAAAUUCCUUGUCGGGUAAGUUCCGACCUGCACGAAUGGCGUAAUGAUGGCCAGGCUGUCUCCACCCGAGACUCAGUGAAAUUGAACUCGCUGUGAAGAUGCAGUGUACCCGCGGCAAGACGGAAAGACCCCGUGAACCUUUACUAUAGCUUGACACUGAACAUUGAGCCUUGAUGUGUAGGAUAGGUGGGAGGCUUUGAAGUGUGGACGCCAGUCUGCAUGGAGCCGGCCUUGAAAUACCACCCUUUAAUGUUUGAUGUUCUAACGUUGGCCCCUGAUCGGGGUUGCGGACAGUGUCUGGUGGGUAGUUUGACUGGGGCGGUCUCCUCCUAAAGAGUAACGGAGGAGCACGAAGGUUGGCUAAUCCUGGUCGGACAUCAGGAGGUUAGUGCAAUGGCAUAAGCCAGCUUGACUGCGAGCGUGACGGCGCGAGCAGGUGCGAAAGCAGGUCAUAGUGAUCCGGUGGUUCUGAAUGGAAGGGCCAUCGCUCAACGGAUAAAAGGUACUCCGGGGAUAACAGGCUGAUACCGCCCAAGAGUUCAUAUCGACGGCGGUGUUUGGCACCUCGAUGUCGGCUCAUCACAUCCUGGGGCUGAAGUAGGUCCCAAGGGUAUGGCUGUUCGCCAUUUAAAGUGGUACGCGAGCUGGGUUUAGAACGUCGUGAGACAGUUCGGUCCCUAUCUGCCGUGGGCGCUGGAGAACUGAGGGGGGCUGCUCCUAGUACGAGAGGACCGGAGUGGACGCAUCACUGGUGUUCGGGUUGUCAUGCCAAUGGCACUGCCCGGUAGCUAAAUGCGGAAGAGAUAAGUGCUGAAAGCAUCUAAGCACGAAACUUGCCCCGAGAUGAGUUCUCCCUGACUCCUUGAGAGUCCUGAAGGAACGUUGAAGACGACGACGUUGAUAGGCCGGGUGUGUAAGCGCAGCGAUGCGUUGAGCUAACCGGUACUAAUGAACCGUGAGGCUUAACCUUACAACGCCGAAGGUGUUU